rnacentral:rRNA from 1 species
CAGAGUUUGAUCAUGGCUCAGGACGAACGCUGGCGGCGUGCCUAAUACAUGCAAGUCGAGCGGACAGAUGGGAGCUUGCUCCCUGAUGUUAGCGGCGGACGGGUGAGUAACACGUGGGUAACCUGCCUGUAAGACUGGGAUAACUCCGGGAAACCGGGGCUAAUACCGGAUGGUUGUUUGAACCGCAUGGUUCAAACAUAAAAGGUGGCUUCGGCUACCACUUACAGAUGGACCCGCGGCGCAUUAGCUAGUUGGUGAGGUAACGGCUCACCAAGGCAACGAUGCGUAGCCGACCUGAGAGGGUGAUCGGCCACACUGGGACUGAGACACGGCCCAGACUCCUACGGGAGGCAGCAGUAGGGAAUCUUCCGCAAUGGACGAAAGUCUGACGGAGCAACGCCGCGUGAGUGAUGAAGGUUUUCGGAUCGUAAAGCUCUGUUGUUAGGGAAGAACAAGUACCGUUCGAAUAGGGCGGUACCUUGACGGUACCUAACCAGAAAGCCACGGCUAACUACGUGCCAGCAGCCGCGGUAAUACGUAGGUGGCAAGCGUUGUCCGGAAUUAUUGGGCGUAAAGGGCUCGCAGGCGGUUUCUUAAGUCUGAUGUGAAAGCCCCCGGCUCAACCGGGGAGGGUCAUUGGAAACUGGGGAACUUGAGUGCAGAAGAGGAGAGUGGAAUUCCACGUGUAGCGGUGAAAUGCGUAGAGAUGUGGAGGAACACCAGUGGCGAAGGCGACUCUCUGGUCUGUAACUGACGCUGAGGAGCGAAAGCGUGGGGAGCGAACAGGAUUAGAUACCCUGGUAGUCCACGCCGUAAACGAUGAGUGCUAAGUGUUAGGGGGUUUCCGCCCCUUAGUGCUGCAGCUAACGCAUAAGCACUCCGCCUGGG